GCCAUAGCUUAGUGAUAGAGCAUCUGCUUUCCUAUUCAGAAGGCCCAACGUUCAAUCCUUGGCAUCUCCA